rnacentral:rRNA from 1 species
UACGGAGGGUGCAAGCGUUAAUCGGAAUUACUGGGCGUAAAGCGCACGUAGGCGGCUUGUUAAGUCGGAUGUGAAAGCCCCGGGCUCAACCUGGGAAUGGCAUCCGAUACUGGCAAGCUAGAGUAUGGGAGAGGAUGGUAGAAUUCCAGGUGUAGCGGUGAAAUGCGUAGAGAUCUGGAGGAAUACCGAUGGCGAAGGCAGCCAUCUGGCCUAAUACUGACGCUGAGGUACGAAAGCAUGGGGAGCAAACAGG